rnacentral:sRNA from 1 species
UUCUGAAGAUUCAUAAUAGCCGCAGUUGC